ACAUCAGGACAACAAAACACAAAAGAAUGCAAUGAACCAUGUAAAUGUCGCUAGUGAAAUCUAGGCUUAAGUCAUUUAUAAUUGAACUAGUUUUUACUACGUAAUGAAACGGGCGUUAGAAUGUAUUUUAAAAUCUCUGGAGUAUAAAAAGUGGCAGAGACAAUGUACAAUAAAUGCAAUAAGGGUUGGAUUGCAAACUAAGGGCUGCAGUUUUGUUGGCAGUUACUGUAUAUACUAGCAUACUUUUCUAGAAUUAUCUAAACUUGAGCAACUAAUGGUGCCUUUAAAUGUAUAUUAAAGACGACUGAAGAAUGAAAAGAUAAACUUACUCUUUGGAUAAUCAAUAUUAUAUGGUGAUGGUUAAUUUGUAUUUUGGUCUUAUCUUUGGAGCUUGACUUCAUCGUUAUUUCUAAAGUUUUGUUUCACGUCUAUCGUAUUUGACUUUAC